UAGCAGGCUUAUAUUUGAAAUAGUUGAGGGCCACUUGUGUUGUUUCUAUAUGGGUGCACACCAAAUUAAACCUUCCGAGAAGAUUAAUGUGCUCAUGAUUUACCUUCUGAAAAUGGGAACUUGUGAUCCUUCUGCGUGUGAUGAGCUGGAUAUGAAAAAGAAUGAUGUAGAUCUGCAGCUCUAUAAUCUGAACCGAAUUAGGAACGAAGAGCUCAAGAUUUUGUUUUGUUCAUGAAGAUGCAUAAUCAAGAGGAACCACGAGGAUUCCUAAGAACACUUGAGGUGCAGCAACAUCACUUAACCUUUUCAUGUUACCCUAGAUGAUUUAUCAUCCUUGCUUGCCCCUCCCGACAAGGAUUCAUAUCAAGAGUUCAAUACUUGUUGGGGGUUCCUCGCAAUGCACGCACAGAGAGGCAUAAUUUCUUUGCUUCCCCCAUCAUCUCUGCAAUAAUAUGGCGUGCAUGUGCAAAAAGAAGGAUCUGAUGGUCUACUAAGGGCUUAUAGGAAUGAAGAGCGGCUUAUCUUCUUUACGUGUUUAUCUGGUAAAUAUUCAUCUCUCAGGCAAUACAAAUCGUAUGGUUACAAGUUCAACAACAACAUGGGGAGCACUGGCGUGGUAGUCCGACGGUAGAGGGAUGGCUGGGCAACAGCCUACCGAGGAGUUGGAGGGAGGGCUUGAUUGGGCCACACCUGUCCACGAGGGCUCGUUGGUGGACUAAUCAAGAAGGGGGGAGGGGCUGGGUGUAUCUGCAACACGCGGUUCCGGCUGGUGUGCUCCUCGGCGGUGUCCGGGACAGGUGGAUGUGUGGGCGGCUGCGUGUGUGAGUGUGCUUCGGUGAUGCGUGAAGAGGACGCGGGGUGGCCAGUGCGGUGCCCUGGUGAGCAGGUGGUUUGAUCCGGACGAAUUUGGCCAUCGUGGCUCGACGUUGGACUUGCUGGUGCAUGUUGUGCAGAGCUCGAGAGGUUGAUCCGGGCGAAAGCUUGUCUCCGGAGUUUCCAAGAGCCGGUGAUGGCAAAGCUUUCGAGUGUCGUUUCCUUCCUAUGGGCAUCGCCGAGGUAUUCUCAGCCGCAAUUUAUGCUGCUUCGGAGGAAACUCUAGAGUGUCGUUUCCUUCCUAUGGGCAUCGCCGAGGUAUUCUCAGCCGCAAUUUAUGCUGCUUCGGAGGAAACUCUAGAUUCAUGUGAUCGGACGAUGACGGUGCUUUGGCAUCAUAUCCCUCUCCAGGGUUUCAUCUUUCGAGCUAUGCAUUAGCAUGCUGGGCCGAUGGAAGAUGGAAGCAGAUGCAUUUAUAACAAGGGCACUGGCCACAGGUUUACAACGACUUACUGGUUGUACUGAUGGAGCAGAGUGCAUAUUUGUGCAGAGUCUACAAAGAGUAACUGAAAGACUCGACUGAUCAGAUUUGUCAGGAGGGCUUUCUUAUUUAUGUAUCCAAUUUUAUGCAUGCCAGAGGAAGAAGAUCAAGCUUUUAGUCAGCUGAGUUGAAGAAGCAAGUACCUGAAGAAAUGGACAGAUUGACAUUUAAAAAUCCUGAAGAUAUGAACAUACAAUCUUGCUGAUUCAUGUGUACUAGCCUGCUCAUUCAUAUAGUUUAUAAUCUGAGGAAAUAUUUGCCGUCUAUGUUAACCUCCAGUCUUGUACUGCUGAAGGUUGUAGUUUGUGUUGUAUCAUAUGUGGGCAUGUUCUUUACUUCAAUCUAGACUUACGUGCCUUUGUGUUAAGUUGUCUUACAUCUCAAGUUUUGUAUUUUCAUGUUUCAUGAAUUAUGUGGGUAUGUGGCAGCCCACAUAAUACCACAUACAGUAUGUGGGCAGCCCACAUAAUCCCACUUAAAUAAGUGGACAUAUGUGGCAGGAAGUGGGCAACUGCAGGUUGUCCCACCUACAGGCUGAGUGGAAGAGAGUUCGUAUUUGCCGUUGUAUGAUGAAAACUGGAUGACAUCUUAUGAUGAAAACUGGAUGCCACCGUGCUUAACGUGUAUUUCUAAAUAAAAAGAAUAAUUUGAUCAAUCUGUUCUUAUUUUUGUUAUUCGAUGGCAACUCAUGGUUAUUCGGCUUUUGCCCGUAGCAACGCACGGGC